GAUGAGCUCGCGUCUGAUUAGCUAGUUGGUGUGGUAAGAGCCUACCCAGGCGACGAUCAGUAGCUGGUCUGAGAGGAUGAUCAGCCACACUGGGACUGAGACACGGCCCANACUCCUACGGGAGGCAGCAGUGGGGAAUUUUCCGCACUGGGCGAAAGCCUGACGGAGCAAUACCGCGUGNGGGAGGAAGGCUCUUGGGUUGUAAACCUCUUUUCUCUCGGAAGAANAUUNUGACGGUACCUGGGGAAUAANCCUCGGGUAACUCCGUGCCAGCAGCCGCGGUUAUACGGAGGAUGCAAGCGUUUUCCGGAAAUAUUGGGCGUAAAGC
rnacentral:rRNA from 1 species